UCUUACAGGAGGGCCUAACACAGAGUGGGU
rnacentral:piRNA from 1 species